rnacentral:rRNA from 1 species
ACGCUGGCGGCGUGCUUAACACAUGCAAGUCGAACGGAAAGGCCCUGCUUUUGUGGGGUGCUCGAGUGGCGAACGGGUGAGUAACACGUGAGUAACCUGCCCUUGACUUUGGGAUAACUUCAGGAAACUGGGGCUAAUACCGGAUAGGAGCUCCUGCUGCAUGGUGGGGGUUGGAAAGUUUCGGCGGUUGGGGAUGGACUCGCGGCUUAUCAGCUUGUUGGUGGGGUAGUGGCUUACCAAGGCUUUGACGGGUAGCCGGCCUGAGAGGGUGACCGGCCACAUUGGGACUGAGAUACGGCCCAGACUCCUACGGGAGGCAGCAGUGGGGAAUAUUGCACAAUGGGCGGAAGCCUGAUGCAGCAACGCCGCGUGCGGGAUGACGGCCUUCGGGUUGUAAACCGCUUUCGCCUGUGACGAAGCGUGAGUGACGGUAAUGGGUAAAGAAGCACCGGCUAACUACGUGCCAGCAGCCGCGGUGAUACGUAGGGUGCGAGCGUUGUCCGGAUUUAUUGGGCGUAAAGGGCUCGUAGGUGGUUGAUCGCGUCGGAAGUGUAAUCUUGGGGCUUAACCCUGAGCGUGCUUUCGAUACGGGUUGACUUGAGGAAGGUAGGGGAGAAUGGAAUUCCUGGUGGAGCGGUGGAAUGCGCAGAUAUCAGGAGGAACACCAGUGGCGAAGGCGGUUCUCUGGGCCUUUCCUGACGCUGAGGAGCGAAAGCGUGGGGAGCGAACAGGCUUAGAUACCCUGGUAGUCCACGCUGUAAACGGUGGGUACUAGGUGUGGGGUCCAUUCCACGGGUUCCGUGCCGUAGCUAACGCUUUAAGUACCCCGCCUGGGGAGUACGGCCGCAAGGCUAAAACUCAAAGGAAUUGACGGGGCCCCGCACAAGCGGCGGAGCAUGCGGAUUAAUUCGAUGCAACGCGUAGAACCUUACCUGGGUUUGACAUGGAUCGGGAGUGCUCAGAGAUGGGUGUGCCUCUUUUGGGGUCGGUUCACAGGUGAUGCAUGGCUGUCGUCAGCUCGUGUCGUGAGAUGUUGGGUUAAGUCCCGCAACGAGCGCAACCCUUGUUCACUGUUGCCAGCACGUUAUGGUGGGGACUCAGUGGAGACCGCCGGGGUCAACUCGGAGGAAGGCGGGGAUGACGUCAAGUCAUCAUGCCCCUUAUGUCCAGGGCUUCACGCAUGCUACAAUGGCUGGUACAGAGAGUGGCGAGCCUGUGAGGGUGAGCGAAUCUCGGAAAGCCGGUCUCAGUUCGGAUUGGGGUCUGCAACUCGACCUCAUGAAGUCGGAGUCGCUAGUAAUCGCAGAUCAGCAACGCUGCGGUGAAUACGUUCCCGGGGCUUGUACACACCGCCCGUCAAGUCAUGAAAGUUGGUAACACCCGAAGCCGGUGGCCUAACCGUUGUGGGGGAGCCGUCGAAGGUGGGACUGGA